rnacentral:lncRNA from 1 species
CCAUUCUCAGAUGUUUUGUUACAACAAUGCAAAACAGGCUAAGAUCCUGGAUUGUCAGUGACUAUAAGGGAAGCUGAAUAUAAAUCCACAGUAACCAGGAAAAAGGCAAGAGUCACCCUGGGGUAUCAUUGACGUCAUCGUCAUCUUCACAUAGCAAUUCACACCUUCAGACUUCCUGCUCCUCUCUGGAACCAACCUACCCUUGAAUAAUCAACUAGUCCCUCCAAAGGCUAUACCAUCACAAUGGCCAUCACAUUUCAAGACGACACAGCACCAAACGUUUACUGGUGAGAAGCCCCGGCAGAGGGGAUUUGCCUCAUAAUUUCCCUGAGUCAGAGAAGGUGUGGGAAAGAGGAAACAAGACAGCUCAUGUGUUGAAGAUCCUGGCGCUGCAGAAAGCAUCCAUUCAGUUCUUCACAACCUGCCUGACAGUUUUCCUAAUGAAACACUUCAGUAUCUUUUUAACGGAGCUUUUUAAUUCUCCUGACUUGAAAGAUCCAUAACUUUUCUUGAGGAGAGAGAGAGAGAGAGAGAGAGAAAGAGAGAGAGAGAGAACCUACCACAUUUAAGCCUAUGCACUGAUUUUUAAGGCCUGUCAGUCAUCCGGAAGAUAUGGCUGCAGGAAGUUCACUCUGGUAUGUUCUUCAGGAAGACAGCUGUAGAAACCAUGUUUGCAGCUGGUAUAAACUGCUACCCAGAAGCCCACAGAUCCAGUGGUCUGAAAUUCAAGCAGCCCUCCUUGGCACUGUGCGGGAACACUGAGGCUUUGAAACCUGCCAGUGUCUUCUAUCAACAGGGUGACCUUGGGUAACAUUUAUUUUUCUCCAAACCUUACCUGCUUCAUGGAUAAAACGUGUCAAAAGAACCUU